GGAAACCACGUGAUCAGCCACGAGAGCAGUGCCGAGUCGCUUUGAUAAUAUGAACCGCAGAUGCUGGACAAUCCGAGAUAACAUGGUGCAGAGCUGGAUGAACACAGCAGGUCAAGCAGCAUCAGAGGAGCAGGAAAGCUGACGUUUCGGGCCUUGAUCCUUUGCUGAGACCAAGAUUUGUGCAAUUGAGAUACCAGCGAUCGUUGCCAAAGCCCUGUUGCCUGUGGAGAAGGUGAUGUUUAACUUUCGUGUGCUGCUGCAGUUUGUAUGAUAAAGGUGCUCCCACAAUGCGGCCAUUUGAGAAGUUACAGAUCAUUCAUUGAGCAAUACUGAAGAGCUGAUGGUGACUACGCGCUGGUCGCUGUUAUCAAUCCUGUCACGGACAGAUGCAUCUGCAGCUGGGAAAUUUGUGACGAUGAGACCAGCUAUGUUUUUCCCUUCUGUUGGUUGUGGCACCACCUGCUGCGGUCCCAGCCAGGCAGCUUUUUCCUUUGGGACCUGUCCAGCUCGAUUGGUAAUCCUGCUGCAAACUACUCCUGAUGGUGGGCAUUGAGUACAAGUAGUGCCAUUCACACUUGCAGUGCUUCCUCCAAGUGCUGUUCAACAUGGAGUUUUUUUUCAAUUAAAAUUCUCUCUUGGGAUAUGGAAAUCACCAGCUGGACCAGUGUUUAUUGCCCAGAAGGCAGUUAAUAGUAACCGCAUUGCUGUGGGUUUGGAGUCAUAUGUAUUGCAGACCAGGUAAGGAUGGCAGAUUUCCUUCCCAAAAGGAUACAAAUGAACCAGAUGAGUCUUCCCUGAAAAUCAGCAAUGGUUUCAUGGUCAUCAUUAGACUCGUAAUUCCAGAUAAUUACUUAAUUCAGGUUUCACCAUCUGCCAUGGCAGGAUUUGAACCCAGGUCCGCAGAACGUUAUCUGGGUCUCUGGAUUAAUAAUCUAGCAAUAAUACUCCUGCCAAUUUAUCAACCGAGGAAGGAUGAUACAUGGUAACGAGCAGGAGCCAUGAGACUUCCAGGCGUCGAUGUCGAGUACUCUCGGGACAAAUAAUCCGGUCAGAAUAGCACUGUGCUGCCACGUCUGCCGGGUCUGUCCUGCUCGUGGGACAGGCCUUCACUGAGGACAGUGGUGAUGUGUCGUUGUCUGUAAGGAUAUUGCAAGUGGACUUUCAGGUGGGAAUCUCAAUAAUUGUAGCACCAGACUCUGACAGAAUUACUCAAUUCAUCAGGACCUGGAUAUUCGCAUUAUAUUUCCACAAUUUUACUUCUGCACCGUUCUUAGUCUUUCGAGCCCUCUGAAAGACUGAGUUACAGAUCUAUACAAUGCCUGUCCUUCCUCCCUGGCUCUCCCACCUCUCUCUUAUGGUAGGUUUGUGCAAACACUGACUGGAUCCCUUACCUGGAGGAUAUUUAUUUAUGAAUUUGUUCUAAUGAUAAUCCAGCAUAUUCCCCAAGUAUCACUCCACAAAUGUCCAGAGGAUUUCUCAGUUUCACAAUCUGUGUGUGUUCUUCUGGUUCCUCGCUCACUGCACUUGCUUUCUGUCUGAAAGCUUAGUCUACAGUUGGAGAAUUCAAACAGGAACACAUCCAGAUCUGACAGUUACUUUGUUCAUCACAACUCAAUUACCUCAGGAUUUUGAACACUGAAGGAAAAAGCAGCACUCACAGUGGGGAGAAAUGCACAUGGUCUGUGAAGAUUCAUCUGAAAUGUCCUUACACCAGCUCAGUGACACUGGGGAGAGACCAUUCACCUGCUCUAAAUGUGGGAAAGCAUUCACUCAGUCAUCCAAACUGUUAACACACCAGUGGGUUCGCAAAGCAGCACAGUUGAAGGAUUUUGCUGUCACUGUCACUAUCAAAUGAACCAUGGUUUUGGGCUGUUUGUACUGAUGUUACUGAUCCCGGUUCAAUUCAAGGUACUGGUAUUGUGGAUAAAAUGUUAAUCAGUUGUGUAUCUGUCAGGUAGAGCUUGGAAAUAGUCACGUUGUCAUGACACAUCGACACAUUCACACUGACGAAAGACUAUCCACCUGCACGGUAUGUGAAAAGGGAUUUCCCGGUUCAUCAGGACUGGUUAACUAGCAGCAAAUUUCUGAGUAACUGUUAAGUUGGUUUUUGAUUCUGCUGUUAGCUAUAUACAAACCAUGUUUUUUGGGCUUGUUUCUGGAGACCAUAGGAUCCCUCCGGUGUGGAAGCAGACCAUUUAGCCCAUCAAGUCCACACUGAACUUAUGAAGAGUGUCUUACCCAGACCCUGCCUGCGUGGGUUUCCUCCAGGUUCCUCCCACAGUCCAAAAAUAUGCAAAUUGGGUAGAUUGACUAUGCUAAAUUGCCCGUAGUGUCACGUGUGUAAAAUGCAGGGACGGGGUAGGGUGGGAUGCUCUUUGGAGGGUUCGUGUGGACUCGAUGGACUGAAUGGCCAUCUUCCACACUGUAAGAAUUCUAUGAUGAUCUUGAUGGCCCUUUAUUUGUUAGUUAUGUCUGGUCAAUAUGUCUGUGCACCUUUUACAAUUACGGAUUCUAUUGCUCUCCACAGACAUGUUUCAAUUUUUAAUAGAUAUUUGUUUAUUGGAAACAAUGCAAUCUUUCCUUUUGAUUUCUAUCCACAAAAUGAAAGUUUUAAAUCGAAACAUAAAAUUGGGAUGAGUCCUGCACUACAAUCCCUGAUUGGGGAAAAUGCAAUCAGCUAUGAAACCUGGUGACCAUUGUGACUCUGUCCGGGGGAAAUGCAGUCUCCUCAGAUCCUUACCUGUUGUCCAUAGCAAUGAUGGAUCUCAUGAUGAAUACAUAUACACCAGAUAUCACACAAUGUCUUGGUUUAUUUUCUAUUUAUUCUUCUGUCCAUUACUCCACAGAGACUGAGAUAACGGUCUGGGGACCUAGGUUUGAAACCCACCAUUCCAGAUGGUAGAAUUGGAGUUUAAACAAAAAAAUCUGAAAUAAGAAUCUAAUGAUGACUGUAAAUCUGUUUUCAUUGUUGGAAAAACCUAUGUCUUUUAGGGAAGGAAACUGCCAUUCUUGUCCAGGGAUAUCAAGAUCCCAUGAAUGAAUUUUUAAAAAUUAAUUUUAAAUAAAACUCCUGCAAAUACA